CCGCCACCUCCAGGCUUCACCGCAACUACUACACCACCCCAACCACCACUCCAAGCUAUAUACAAUAUACAUAUAUAUGUGUGUGUAUAUAUAUACACACACAUACACAGUAUAGUUAGGGUUAGGGUUUCGAAUGAUAGGGGAGAGAGAGAUCAGCGCGAUGGGAGGAGGCGAAGAGCGGAAGAGGUGGCAUCACGGUGGCUGCCGGCUGUGAGGUCGGGAGUGGCGAUCAGUGUGGAGGGGAAGGGUGCGAUACGAUUGGGGUGAAACUAAACUUCUCCAUA
rnacentral:lncRNA from 1 species